rnacentral:rRNA from 1 species
UACGUAGGGGGCUAGCGUUAUCCGGAUUUAUUGGGUUUAAAGGGUGCGUAGGCGGUCCUUUAAGUCAGUGGUGAAAGCCAACAGCUCAACUGUUGAACUGCCAUUGAUACUGGAGGACUUGAGUACAGACGAGGUAGGCGGAAUUGACGGUGUAGCGGUGAAAUGCAUAGAUAUCGUCAAGAACACCGAUUGCGAAGGCAGCUUACUAGACUGUAACUGACGCUGAGGCACGAAAGUGUGGGGGUCAAACAGG